CAAAAAUUAACAUAAGUUUAAUGUGUCUCACUUACGUUGAGGUUAUAAUUAUUAAUUAAUUAUUUUUGA
rnacentral:tRNA from 1 species